rnacentral:rRNA from 1 species
UACAGAGGUCUCAAGCGUUGUUCGGAUUCAUUGGGCGUAAAGGGUGCGUAGGUGGCGCCGUAAGUCAGGUGUGAAAUUUCGAGGCUUAACCUCGAAACUGCAUUUGAUACUGCGGUGCUUGAGGACUGGAGAGGAGACUGGAAUUCAUGGUGUAGCAGUGAAAUGCGUAGAGAUCAUGAGGAAGACCAGUGGCGAAGGCGGGUCUCUGGACAGUUCCUGACACUGAGGCACGAAGGCCAGGGGAGCAAACGGG